rnacentral:rRNA from 1 species
GACGAACGCUGGCGGCGUGCCUAAUACAUGCAAGUAGAACGCACAGUUUAUACCGUAGCUUGCUACACCAUAAACUGUGAGUUGCGAACGGGUGAGUAACGCGUAGGUAACCUGCCUGGUAGCGGGGGAUAACUAUUGGAAACGAUAGCUAAUACCGCAUAAUAUUGAUUAUUGCAUGAUAAUUGAUUGAAAGAUGCUAUUGCAUCACUACCAGAUGGACCUGCGUUGUAUUAGCUAGUAGGUGAGGUAACGGCUCACCUAGGCGACGAUACAUAGCCGACCUGAGAGGGUGAUCGGCCACACUGGGACUGAGACACGGCCCAGACUCCUACGGGAGGCAGUAGUAGGGAAUCUUCGGCAAUGGACGAAAGUCUGACCGAGCAACGCCGCGUGAGUGAAGAAGGUUUUCGGAUCGUAAAGCUCUGUUGUAAGAGAAGAACGGGUGUGAGAGUGGAAAGUUCACACUGUGACGGUAUCUUACCAGAAAGGGACGGCUAACUACGUG